GAUAAACGCUGGCGGCGCACAUAAGACAUGCAAGUCGAACGAACUUAACCAUUAGUUUACUAUUGGAGCGGUUAGUGGCGGACUGGUGAGUAACACGUAAGCAACCUGCCUAUCAGAGGGGAACAACAGUUAGAAAUGACUGCUAAUACCGCAUAUGCCUAAGUAUCACAUGGUACAAUAGGGAAAGGAGAAAUCCGCUGAUAGAUGGGCUUGCGUCUGAUUAGUUAGUUGGUGGGGUAACGGCCUACCAAGACGACGAUCAGUAGCCGGACUGAGAGGUUGAACGGCCACAUUGGGACUGAGAUACGGCCCAGACUCCUACGGGAGGCAGCAGUCGGGAAUAUUGCGCAAUGGAGGAAACUCUGACGCAGUGACGCCGCGUGCAGGAAGAAGGUUUUCGGACUGUAAACUGCUUUAGACAGGGAAGAAAAAAGACAGUACCUGUAGAAUAAGCUCCGGCUAACUACGUGCCAGCAGCCGCGGUAAUACGUAGGGAGCGAGCGUUAUCCGGAUUUAUUGGGUGUAAAGGGUGCGUAGACGGGAGAGCAAGUUGGUUGUGAAAUCCCUCGGCUUAACUGAGGAACUGCAACCAAAACUAUUCUUCUUGAGUGCUGGAGAGGAAAGUGGAAUUCCUAGUGUAGCGGUGAAAUGCGUAGAUAUUAGGAGGAACACCAGUGGCGAAGGCGACUUUCUGGACAGUAACUGACGUUGAGGCACGAAAGUGUGGGGAGCAAACAGGAUUAGAUACCCUGGUAGUCC
rnacentral:rRNA from 1 species